rnacentral:rRNA from 1 species
UACGAAGGGGGAGCUAGCGUUGCUCGGAAUCACUGGGCGUAAAGGGCGCGUAGGCGGACUCUUAAGUCGGGGGUGAAAGCCCAGGGCUCAACCCUGGAAUUGCCUUCGAUACUGAGAGUCUUGAGUUCGGAAGAGGUUGGUGGAACUGCGAGUGUAGAGGUGAAAUUCGUAGAUAUUCGCAAGAACACCAGUGGCGAAGGCGGCCAACUGGUCCGAUACUGACGCUGAGGCGCGAAAGCGUGGGGAGCAAACAGG